ACCUGAGGAGGUUAGGCGCCCAGACGAUGGCCAGGUUUUUAGUGUGCAUGUUAGUGAUGGGGCUGAAGGUGGCAAGGUUGGAGAGGUGUCUCAUGAGGUACUCCAACGUCCUGUAGUGUGGAGGAGGCAGCUGCUGGAUGACAUUGUGGAUUUUGACCAGCCUCUCCUCAUCUGUGGCUGCAGACACGGCCUCCUGUGAAGACAGAGGAUAAAGCGCACGUCACUGCUGAGAGGCCGAUAAUCACAGCAGAGGGAGUCGCCUUAACAGUCCCACUCGCUUUUUUUUUUUUCUCCCUUUUAUAGUCAGAGCAGGGCAGUGUUUUUUUUUUUUUGACUCGCUUCAUCUGCUAUUCCGUUUUAGCGUGUACAUCCCCUGCUGUUCCUAGAAAGCUGAGA